rnacentral:lncRNA from 10 species
UUUUUUUUUUUUUUAAGUAGAGACGGGGUUUCACCAUGUUGGCCAGGCUGGUCUUGUACUCCUGACCUCAAGUGAUCCGCCUAUCUCGGCCUCCCAAAGUUCUGGGAUUACAGGGGUGAGCCACUGCACCCGGCCAUGUCUGUUAGAUGUCAACAUAAGUUUUGGAGGAGACAUUCAACACCAGGGCACCCAGAGUUGGGCCAUGAUGGAGUGCUGGGGUUUUUCAUUUUUGUUUUUGAGACAGGGUCUUGAUCUGUCGCCCAGACUGGAGUACAGUGGCAUGAUCAUGGCUCACUGCGGCCUCAACCUCCUGGGUUCAAGUGAUCCUCCUGCCUCCUCAGUCUCCCAAGUAGUUGAACCCACAGGCACAAGCCAUCACACCCAGCUAAUUUUAGUACUUUUUGUAGACAUGGGG